GACGAACCGAGCGAACGUUAUUCGGAAUCACUGGGCUUAAAGGGCGCGUAGGCGGGCCAUCAAGUCAGGGGUGAAAGCCCCCAGCUCAACUGGGGAAGUGCCUCUGAUACUGGUGGCCUCGAGGGAGGUAGGGGCGUGCGGAACUUCCGGUGGAGCGGUGAAAUGCGUAGAUAUCGGAAGGAACACCUGUGGCGAAAGCGGCUCACUGGACCAUAACUGACGCUGAGGCGCGAAAGCUAGGGGAGCAAACAGG
rnacentral:rRNA from 1 species